AAAAUCCAAUUUCCUUGAUUUGAGUAAAUUUUAUAUUGAACCGAACUAUUUUUCGUUUAAAGCAAAGUUUCAAGUUUUAAAAUCAAAAUAUUAAAUUUGAAUUCAAAGAAUUUAUUUUUUGACGCAGAAUCAAUGUAAAAAUUCAUUGAUUUAGAUGAUUUUUUUGUGAAUCAAAGUAUUUUUUCGUCAAAUAGUCGACACAGCUUCUGUUUGGCGGAAAAAUUUUUCCAACAACCAGUCAGACCUAUUUAUUUCAGCAGAAUCUUCCUUCCGGGCAACCCCAGACAGCACGGUGAGAUCCGGUGUAGGAAAGUUUCGACAGCUAUGAAAGGGACGAUAGUGGACUCCAAGAGCAAUCUUUCAUCCAACCAAUUUGAAGAAUUAACUGUACUGACUGUUCCAGUCCUCCGGCUAAGCGGUUGCAAUCGGUUCCGAUCCGGUUUAAGGAGACACGACGGCUGGCGCCGAAACCCUUUGGUCGAAAGCAAAGUCCACCAACAAAUAUCGUUCAAUGAACCGGUUUAAAAAUUCAAACAAGGGAAGAUCGAUUAUGUGAAGUGGUGAAAGGUAGAACAUCUACU